AUCCGGCUGACGAGUCCCAAAUAGGAUGAAGUGACACGCAUUCUGGAU
rnacentral:hammerhead_ribozyme from 1 species